rnacentral:rRNA from 1 species
GAUGAACGCUGGCGGCGUGCCUAAUACAUGCAAGUAGAACGCUGAAGCUUGGUGCUUGCACCGAGCGGAAGAGUUGCGAACGGGUGAGUAACGCGUAGGUAACCUGCCUCUUAGCGGGGGAUAACUAUUGGAAACGAUAGCUAAUACCGCAUAAAAGUCGGCAUUGCAUGAUGUUGACUUGAAAGGUGCAACUGCAUCACUAAGAGAUGGACCUGCGUUGUAUUAGCUAGUUGGUGAGGUAACGGCUCACCAAGGCGACGAUACAUAGCCGACCCGAGAGGGUGAUCGGCCACACUGGGACUGAGACACGGCCCAGACUCCUACGGGAGGCAGCAGUAGGGAAUCUUCGGCAAUGGACGGAAGUCUGACCGAGCAACGCCGCGUGAGUGAAGAAGGUUUUCGGAUCGUAAAGCUCUGUUGUAAGAGAAGAACGAGUGUGAGAGUGGAAAGUUCACACUGUGACGGUAACUUACCAGAAAGGGACGGCUAACUACGUGCCAGCAGCCGCGGUAAUACGUAGGUCCCGAGCGUUAUCCGGAUUUAUUGGGCGUAAAGCGAGCGCAGGCGGUUAGAUAAGUCUGAAGUUAAAGGCUGUGGCUUAGCCAUAGUACGCUUUGGAAACUGUUUAACUUGAGUGCAGAAGGGGAAAGUGGAAUUCCAUGUGUAGCGGUGAAAUGCGUAGAUAUAUGGAGGAACACCGGUGGCGAAAGCGGCUCUCUGGUCUGUAACUGACGCUGAGGCUCGAAAGCGUGGGGAGCAAACAGG